rnacentral:rRNA from 1 species
AUACGGAGGAUCCGAGCGUUAUCCGGAUUUAUUGGGUUUAAAGGGUGCGUAGGCGGUCGGGUAAGCGUAGGGUGAAAGUCCUCUGCUCAACAGAGGAAGUGCCUUCCGAACUGUCCGACUGGAAUGCUCCUGCCGUGGGAGGAAUGUGUGGUGUAGCGGUGAAAUGCAUAGAGAUCACACAGAACACCGAUUGCGAAGGCAUCUCACGAAGGGGCUAUUGACGCUGAGGCACGAAAGCGUGGGGAUCAAACAGGAUUAGAUACCCUGGUAGUCCACGCAGUAAACGAUGAUGACUAACCGUCGGUCAAGACUGAUCGGUGGCCAAGCGAAAGCGAUAAGUCAUCCACCUGGGGAGUACGACCGCAAGGUUGAAACUCAAAUGAAUUGACGGGG